CUUAGAGUUUGAUCCUGGCUCAGGACGAACGCUGGCGGCGUGCCUAAUACAUGCAAGUAGAACGCUGAAGAGAGGAGCUUGCUCUUCUUGGAUGAGUUGCGAACGGGUGAGUAACGCGUAGGUAACCUGCCUUGUAGCGGGGGAUAACUAUUGGAAACGAUAGCUAAUACCGCAUAACAAUGGAUGACUCAUGUCAUUUAUUUGAAAGGGGCAAAUGCUCCACUACAAGAUGGACCUGCGUUGUAUUAGCUAGUAGGUGAGGUAACGGCUCACCUAGGCGACGAUACAUAGCCGACCUGAGAGGGUGAUCGGCCACACUGGGACUGAGACACGGCCCAGACUCCUACGGGAGGCAGCAGUAGGGAAUCUUCGGCAAUGGGGGCAACCCUGACCGAGCAACGCCGCGUGAGUGAAGAAGGUUUUCGGAUCGUAAAGCUCUGUUGUAAGUCAAGAACGAGUGUGAGAGUGGAAAGUUCACACUGUGACGGUAGCUUACCAGAAAGGGACGGCUAACUACGUGCCAGCAGCCGCGGUAAUACGUAGGUCCCGAGCGUUGUCCGGAUUUAUUGGGCGUAAAGCGAGCGCAGGCGGUUUGAUAAGUCUGAAGUUAAAGGCUGUGGCUCAACCAUAGUUCGCUUUGGAAACUGUCAAACUUGAGUGCAGAAGGGGAGAGUGGAAUUCCAUGUGUAGCGGUGAAAUGCGUAGAUAUAUGGAGGAACACCGGUGGCGAAAGCGGCUCUCUGGUCUGUAACUGACGCUGAGGCUCGAAAGCGUGGGGAGCGAACAGGAUUAGAUACCCUGGUAGUCCACGCCGUAAACGAUGAGUGCUAGGUGUUGGAUCCUUUCCGGGAUUCAGUGCCGCAGCUAACGCAUUAAGCA
rnacentral:rRNA from 1 species